GAUGAACGCUAGCUACAGGCUUAACACAUGCAAGUCGAGGGGCAGCAUGGUCUUAGCUUGCUAAGGCCGAUGGCGACCGGCGCACGGGUGAGUAACACGUAUCCAACCUGCCGUCUACUCUUGGACAGCCUUCUGAAAGGAAGAUUAAUACAAGAUGGCAUCAUGAGUCCGCAUGUUCACAUGAUUAAAGGUAUUCCGGUAGACGAUGGGGAUGCGUUCCAUUAGAUAGUAGGCGGGGUAACGGCCCACCUAGUCUUCGAUGGAUAGGGGUUCCGAGAGGAAGGUCCCCCACAUUGGAACUGAGACACGGUCCAAACUCCUACGGGAGGCAGCAGUGAGGAAUAUUGGUCAAUGGGCGAGAGCCUGAACCAGCCAAGUAGCGUGAAGGAUGACUGCCCUAUGGGUUGUAAACUUCUUUUAUAAAGGAAUAAAGUCGGGUAUGCAUACCCGUUUGCAUGUACUUUAUGAAUAAGGAUCGGCUAACUCCGUGCCAGCAGCCGCGGUAAUACGGAGGAUCCGAGCGUUAUCCGGAUUUAUUGGGUUUAAAGGGAGCGUAGAUGGAUGUUUAAGUCAGUUGUGAAAGUUUGCGGCUCAACCGUAAAAUUGCAGUUGAUACUGGAUAUCUUGAGUGCAGUUGAGGCAGGCGGAAUUCGUGGUGUAGCGGUGAAAUGCUUAGAUUUCACGAAGAACUCCGAUUGCGAAGGCAGCCUGCUAAGCUGCAACUGACAUUGAGGCUCGAAAGUGUGGGUAUCAAACAGGAUUAGAUACCCUGGUAGUCCACACGGUAAACGAUGAAUACUCGCUGUUUGCGAUAUACAGCAAGCGGCCAAGCGAAAGCGUUAAGUAUUCCACCUGGGGAGUACGCCGGCAACGGUGAAACUCAAAGGAAUUGACGGGGGCCCGCACAAGCGGAGGAACAUGUGGUUUAAUUCGAUGAUACGCGAGGAACCUUACCCGGGCUUAAAUUGCAGAUGAAUUACGGUGAAAGCCGUAAGCCGCAAGGCAUCUGUGAAGGUGCUGCAUGGUUGUCGUCAGCUCGUGCCGUGAGGUGUCGGCUUAAGUGCCAUAACGAGCGCAACCCUUGUUGUCAGUUACUAACAGGUUCCGCUGAGGACUCUGACAAGACUGCCAUCGUAAGAUGUGAGGAAGGUGGGGAUGACGUCAAAUCAGCACGGCCCUUACGUCCGGGGCUACACACGUGUUACAAUGGGGGGUACAGAGGGCCGCUACCACGCGAGUGGAUGCCAAUCCCAAAAACCUCUCUCAGUUCGGACUGGAGUCUGCAACCCGACUCCACGAAGCUGGAUUCGCUAGUAAUCGCGCAUCAGCCACGGCGCGGUGAAUACGUUCCCGGGCCU
rnacentral:rRNA from 1 species